ensembl:snRNA U1 U1 spliceosomal RNA
AUACUUAUCUGACAGGAGAGCUACCAUGAUCACAAAGGUAGUUUUCCCAGGGAGAGGCUUAUCCAUUGCACUCUAGAUGUGCUGAAUCCUGCGAUUUCCCUAUUUCCCCAAACGUGGGAUGCUUAAAUGCCUAAUUUGUUGUAGUGGGGGACUGUGUUCACACUCUCCCCUA